GACGGAGGAUGCAAGUGUUAUCCGGAAUCACUGGGCGUAAAGCGUCUGUAGGUGGUUCGAAAAGUCCACUGUUAAAAAUUGAGGCUUAACUUCAAAGAUGCCGUGGAAACUUUCAAACUAGAGUAUGGUAGGGGUAGAGGGAAUUUCCAGUGGAGCGGUGAAAUGCGUAGAUAUUGGAAAGAACACCAAUGGCGAAGGCACUCUACUGGGCCAUUACUGACACUGAGAGACGAAAGCUAGGGGAGCGAAUGGG
rnacentral:rRNA from 1 species